CAACCAAAGAAGGGCGUGAAGCAAACU
rnacentral:sRNA from 1 species